rnacentral:rRNA from 1 species
GACGAACGCUGGCGGCGUGCUUAACACAUGCAAGUCGAACGGAAAGGCCCUGCUUUUGUGGGGUGCUCGAGUGGCGAACGGGUGAGUAACACGUGAGUAACCUGCCCUCGACUUUGGGAUAACUUCAGGAAACUGGGGCUAAUACCGGAUAGGAGCUCCUGCUGCAUGGUGGGGGUCGGAAAGUUUCGGCGGUUGGGGAUGGACUCGAGGCUUAUCAGCUUGUUGGUGGGGUAGUGGCUUACCAAGGCUUUGAAGGGUAGCCGGCCUGAGAGGGUGACCGGCCACAGUGGGACUGAGAUACGGCCCAGACUCCUACGGGAGGCAGCAGUGGGGGAUAUUGCACAAUGGGCGGAAGCCUGAUGCAGCAACGCCGCGUGCGGGAUGGCGGCCUUCGGGUUGUAAACCGCUUUCGCCUGGGACGAAGCGUGAGUGACGGUAAUGGGUAAAGAAGCACCGGCUAACUACGUG